rnacentral:tRNA from 1 species
GCGGGUGUGGCGAAAUUGGCAUACGCAUAAGAUUUAGGAUCUUACGCCGUGAGGCGUGCAGGUUCGACCCCUGUCACCCGCACCA